rnacentral:rRNA from 1 species
UACGGAGGGUGCGAGCGUUGUCCGGAAUCACUGGGCGUAAAGGGCGCGUAGGCGGCCUGAUAAGUAGGGGGUGAAAUCCUGCGGCUUAACCGCAGGGCUGCCUUCUAAACUGUCGGGCUCGAGCACAGUAGAGGCAGGUGGAAUUCCCGGUGUAGCGGUGGAAUGCGCAGAUAUCAGGAGGAACACCGGUGGCGAAGGCGGGUCUCUGGGCAGUAACUGACGCUGAGGAGCGAAAGCGUGGGGAGCGAACAGG